UACGAAGGGGGCAAGCGUUGUUCGGAAUUAUUGGGCGUAAAGGGAGCGUAGGCGGUUCGGCAAGUCUUUAGUGAAAUCUCUGGGCUCAACCCUGGGAUGCCGGUCGAUACUGCCGGACUAGAGUUCGGAAGAGGCGAGUGGAAAUUCCCGGUGUAGCGGUGAAAUGCGCAGAUAUCGGGAGGAACACCUAUGGCGAAGGCAGCUCGCUGGGACGUUACUGACGCUGAGACGCGAAAGCGUGGGGAGCAAACAGG
rnacentral:rRNA from 1 species